UACAGAGGGUGCAAGCGUUGUUCGGAAUUAUUGGGCGUAAAGCGCGUGUAGGCGGCUUUGCAAGUCGGGUGUGAAAGCCCUCAGCUCAACUGAGGAAGUGCGCCCGAAACUGCAGAGCUUGAGUGCCGGAGAGGGUGGCGGAAUUCCCCAAGUAGAGGUGAAAUUCGUAGAUAUGGGGAGGAACACCGGUGGGCGAAGGCGGC
rnacentral:rRNA from 1 species